rfam:Peptostreptococcaceae bacterium CCRI-22567 contig-12, whole genome shotgun sequence.
GGUUAAGGAACAAAGAGCAUAAGGUGAAUGCCUAGGUGAUUAGAGCCGAAGAAGGACGUGGCAAGCUGCGAAAAGCUAUGGCAAGGAGCAAACAUCCGCUAUAACCAUAGAUAUCCGAAUGAGGAAACUCACCUAAUAGAGAUAUUAGGUAUCCAUAAUUGAAUAAAUAGAUUAUGGAGGGGAACGCUGGGAACUGAAACAUCUAAGUACCAGUAGGAAAAGAAAGAAACAUCGAUUACCAAAGUAGCGGCGAGCGAAAUGGUAACAGCCCAAACCAGAAGAAGAAAUUCAUCUGGGGUACGGACUACCAUAAAGUAUUGGAAAACAUAGUCGAACAAGUUGGAAAACUUGACCAAAGAGAGUAAAAGUCACGUAGACGAAAUGCAGACCAAACAGGUAGCAUCCAGAGUAAGGUAGAGCACGAGGAAUUCUGCCCGAAGAAAGGGGGACCACCCCCAAAGGCUAAAUACUACUAAUCAACCGAUAGAGAAAAAGUACCGUGAGGGAAAGGUGAAAAGAACCCCGGGAGGGGAGUGAAAAAGAACCUGAAACCAUAUGCUUACAAACAGGUAGAGCGCAAGUGAUACCAUACUUUUUGUAGAACGGGCCAACGAGUUAUGUUGAAUAGCAAGGUCAAGAAAUUAAGUUUCAAAGCCGAAGCGAAAGCGAGUCUUAAAAGGGCAAAAAGUUAAACAACAUAGACCCGAAACUAAGCGACCUACCCAUGAGCAGAUUGAAGUUUCCGUAACAGGAAAUGGAGGAUCGAACCCACGUAUGUUGAAAAAUGCGGGGAUGACUUGUGGGUAGCGGUGAAAUUCCAAUCGAGCUUAGAGAUAGCUGGUUCUCUUCGAAAUAGCUUUAGGGCUAGCGUCUUUAACAAGUUUACUGGGGGUAGAUCACUGAAUGUUCUAGGGGUCGCAAAGAUUACCGAAAACUAUCAAAAUCCGAAUACCAGUAAAUAUAAAAGGCAGUCAGACUAUGAGUGAUAAGAUCCAUAGUCAAAAGGGAAAAAGCCCAGACCAACAGCUAAGGUCCCAAAAUGUACGUUAAGUGGAAAAGGAUGUGAAAUUGCACAGACAACCAGGAUGUUGGCUUAGAAGCAGCCACACAUUAAAAGAGUGCGUAAUAGCUCACUGGUCGAGUGAUUUUGCGCCGAAAAUUAUCGGGGCUCAAACGUACUACCGAAGCUUUGGAUCCGUUACACUUAACUAAGAAAUUAAUCAAGUAUGAAAAGCAUGACAACGAAGUUAGAAAGAAAAUUCCAAAAAAGAAAAAACAUACAAGAUUAAGAUUUUAGUUAAGUGUAACGGAUGGUAGAAGAGCAUUGUAUAAGAGCAGAAGCAAAAGCGUAAGUAAUUGUGGAUUUUAUACAAGAGAGAAUGUUGGCAUGAGUAGCGAGAAUGAGGUGAGAAACCUCAUGGCCGAAAACCCAAGGAUUUCUGAGGAAGGUUUGUCCGCUCAGAGUAAGUCGGGACCUAAGGAGAGGCUGAAAAGCGUAUCUGAUGGACAACAGGUAAAAAUUCCUGUACCUACAACUAUCGACAAAGACAAGAAGGAAUGACGCAGGAGGAUAAGAUUAGCGUGCGACUGGAAGAGCACGUCCAAGCACAAAGGCUGAUUAGUUGGCAAAUCCGCUAAUCAAAAAAGCAGAUGUGUGAUGGGGAGUCGAAUGAGACGAAGGAUCUGAUUUCACACUGACAGGAAAAGUUUCUAUUGAGAUAGAAGUAGCCCGUACCGUAAACCGACACAGGUGGGAGGGGUGAGAAACCCAAGGCCGACUGGAGAACUGUUGUUAAGGAACUCGGCAAAAUGAUCCCGUAACUUAGGGAAAAGGGAUGCCUAGAAAUAGGUCACAGAAAAAAGGCCCAAGCGACUGUUUACCAAAAACAUAGGUCUCUGCGAAACCGCAAGGUGAAGUAUAGGGGCUGACGCCUGCCCGGUGCUGGAAGGUUAAGAGGAGAAGUCAGGAAACGAAGCUUUGAAUUUAAGCCCCAGUAAACGGCGGCCGUAACUAUAACGGUCCUAAGGUAGCGAAAUUCCUUGUCGGGUAAGUUCCGACCCGCACGAAAGGCGUAACGAUUUGGGCACUGUCUCAACAACAGACCAGGUGAAAUUGUAAUACCGGUGAAGAUGCCGGGAACCUGCGACAGGACGGAAAGACCCCAUGGAGCUUUACUGUAGCUUAGUAUUGAAAUUAGGUAAUUAAUGUACAGAAUAGGUGGGAGGC